rnacentral:lncRNA from 1 species
UGUUCCUCUGAUCUGAGAGGCAUCAGUUCGAGAAGACAUUCGUUCAUCUGUUCUUUCAUUCCUUAUUGCUUGCUUUAAAAGAUCAAGAGCCAGCAUCCCAACUCCAAAUCACAUAUGAAGCAGAUUGACAGAACUGCAAGUCCUUGAAAAUGAAAGUUUUGUUUUGACCAGUCCUAUGAUGUCUCUUAAAGCCCCUAUCUUGCUAUGAUUGUAUAGUCGUAUGAUGGAAGACUGAGCCGUCAGUCCACAGAAGAGUGAAGUAUUAACUGCUCCAUAGGCCGCCUGCUCUCCUUUAUUCCACUUGAAGGGAAGUAACAAACAUCUUCAGUCUGUACACUUAUAGAAUAGAGGAUUUAUCUGUCCUUUCUGAUUCGUGGAAGGUAACUAUCCAAAUCUGCUGGAGGAAAGAACAAAGUGAAUGAGCAGUGUAGCUUCUCACACAUUUCUGUUAGGAGCAGAAAAGCUAUGUAAGUUUGAGAAGAUGGGAACAGUCCCCAAUUACCUUCUUUCUCUCUGUGCCAAGAAGAAGCAGAUGCCUGACUGGAAAGCCCUCAGAGUGCUUGGCAAAGACCGAGACUUUAUAAGAGGAGCAAGGAACAAUGUCCAGCCCAGUGUGAAGUUGUCAGCUAUUUACUGAGGAUGCAAGGGGGGACUGCAUGAAGCCUGCUGGAUUAAAUGCCAACCCAAGAGAGAACCCAUCCUGCAUAAACACAAAAGGAAGUGGGAAAUUUGUUAUCCUCCACAUUUAAAUUUUUUUUCCUUCUCAAUUGCCUUUAUUUUUUAAGAAGUCAUAUGCUACCCAUAUUCCUAGGAGGUUUUCUUAGCAUCUUGCAAAAUGAGUCCCUGACUCAUGGAAAAGAACUCCAUGGACACUGUUCUUCUCUGCACAGCUGAUCUGACUCAAGUGUAGAGUGUAGUAAAUCUUCUAAUGAGCUUUAGCUCACCUCUUGAGUACAGCUACACAGUGACCUACCAGGGAAUUUUGGUCCUUCAUGAAAGAUGCUUCUUGAUACCUAUUGUCAAGGCUGGAUAGAGAUGUGUAUCCUCAGACUCCACAGCGGCCUGUGCACCCACUCUUCCCUGCCUGCCCAUCCCCAGUGCCAAGUCUUCCCAGUCUGGAACCCUGAAGUCUUCCUGCUGCUGUCAUCCUGCCCGCUCCUACUUGCCAUUUUGCCUUCUAGCCAUGCUGUGAUGGAGAGGACUGCCUUAGGGCUGUGUGGGCUUAAAAGAGAUACUGUGAGGCACUGGAGCCGUGCAGAUUUAUACAGUUGUCACUGGACAUCAGAACUCUGUGAACUUGAUAGAGUUUGCCUUAGGGCUGUGUGGAUUUAAGGGCUCCACAAGAUUUCAGGAUAUAAAAAUCCUUCUAAAAACUACGUAAUUCACCUUCAGAUCUUACAGAAAUAAAUAAAUAAAUAAGUAAAUAUCUUCA